GGUGAGAUGGCCGAGCGGUCUAAGGCGCCAGACUAAGGAUCAGGGCACUUGGUGUCCAUGCAAUCUGGUCCGAAAGGGCGUGGGUUCGAAUCCCACUCUCAUCA
rnacentral:tRNA from 1 species